UGGGGAAUAUUGCACAAUGGGCGCAAGCCUGAUGCAGCCAUGCCGCGUGUAUGAAGAAGGCCUUCGGGUUGUAAAGUACUUUCAGUCGGGAGGAAGGUGGUAAGGUUAAUAACCUUGGCAAUUGACGUUACCGACAGAAGAAGCACCGGCUAACUCCGUGCCAGCAGCCGCGGUAAUACGGAGGGUGCAAGCGUUAAUCGGAAUUACUGGGCGUAAAGCGCACGCAGGCGGUUGAUUGAGUCAGAUGUGAAAUCCCCGGGCUUAACCCGGGAAUUGCAUCUGAUACUGGUCAGCUAUAGUCUUGUAGAGGGGGGUAGAAUUCCAUGUGUAGCGGUGAAAUGCGUAGAGAUGUGGAGGAAUACCGGUGGCGAAGGCGGCCCCCUGGACAAAGACUGACGCUCAGGUGCGAAAGCGUGGGGAGCAAACAGG
rnacentral:rRNA from 1 species